rnacentral:rRNA from 1 species
UACGAAGGGUGCAAGCGUUAAUCGGAAUUACUGGGCGUAAAGGGUGCGUAGGCGGUUGUUUAAGUCUGUCGUGAAAUCCCCGGGCUCAACCUGGGAACUGCAGUGGAAACUGGACAACUAGAGUGUGGUAGAGGGUAGCGGAAUUCCCGGUGUAGCAGUGAAAUGCGUAGAGAUCGGGAGGAACAUCCAUGGCGAAGGCAGCUACCUGGACCAACACUGACACUGAGGCACGAAAGCGUGGGGAGCAAACAGG